GGCUGCACCGCUUCGGAUUGCGUCUCUCCAGUGAGCCAUGUUUCCGUGAAGCAGAGAACGUUACAGUCUCUGAUGUCCCUCUGGAAUGCUACCCUUGCUCGGAUUUCAUCAACCUUGUUGCCGAGGUAUUGAACUAGGUAGACUGAGCAUAGAGCUAAAGGCUAUAACCACGGGAAGAAACUGUUCAGAUUGGGGUCUAUAACAUCCAAUCACUUAGGUUUACAGCAGCUGACAGUUGCAAUUUCAUUGCUAAUAACUCAAACUUCCUUUUUCAGAUGAAGACAUCAUCUCUGUACAGAUGUAGGAUCUGAAUUUGAUCACCCUGUUGCAGGAAAACUAAAACUUGCAGUGUAUUUGAUGUUUUAAAAGGCUUCUGAAGUUUGUAAUUUCCACUUUCCACUUUAAAAUGUUAAUUAUAAUCCACAUCAUUUUUCUGCUUCAGUAAACUGUCUCAAAUUAAGAUCCUACAUCUGUAGCAAAACACCUGUCUUCCAUGUAUUCUCCUUUGACCAUUUGACAUCUUUUAUUUACUGUUGUUGAGGCUGGUUGAAUGAGUUGCCUAUGAAAGCUACUUCAUCUGUGAGAAAACAGGCGGCUGCACCAGUGACUGGGUCAGUGCUCUAAAAUGAGUCUCUCUAGGGAGAGAGAGGAGGGGGCCCUGCCUCUAAAAUUAGACUCUCUGGGGAACAUGACACCAAAUCUAAGAGCCCAAUCAAGCAGGAGAGACCAGCCUCCCCUGUACCCAGCUGUGUGUCCCUGAAGAGUGACCGGUCUAUGGGUCAUCCUAUAAUGUUUAGAGAGGAAGACUUUUCUACUGAACAAAGAAACCAACAGGAGAGAUCAGAGUCAGAGAAUCUCAGUGGUCAGUCUUCCCAGAGUCAUCAAACAGACCUGGACUCCAUAUUCAGUAUGCUUGAAGAGAAAAUUAUGACAUUUGUGAGGAACGAGCUGAAGAUGUUCAAGAGGAUUCUUAGUCCAGAACUCCCAGAAGGCUUUGAGAGUCAGAAGCAGGAUAAGGAAGUGGUGGACGCUGAAGAUGAAGCAGGAGAGCAGUGCCAGAGGGGGCUCUGAAGAUCACACUGCACGUCCUGAGGAAAAUGAACCAGAAGGAGCUUGCUGACACACUGGAGAAAAGUAUGAGCUGUCUGCCUCAUGUUGAAUGGUGUUUAUAAUAUUUUAGUAGUUUUACAACAAACAUUGAAAAGCUGUAGCUAAAAAAAAGGCUGUAGCUAAAGUACAGCUAAAGUAGCUGUGUAACUCAAUGAUUUUGUAGCUGCCUUACCACAACACCUAGUGACCUCAUCAAGUAGCAGCAGGGAUGUGUUGUGUUGAUUAAUUUAGAUUGAGAGACAACAUUAAUAAUAGCAUCAAUAAAAUUAUAUUAAUAUAAUCAGUCA